rnacentral:rRNA from 2 species
CCCCUAGUAACUGCGAGUGAAGCGGGAAAAGCUCAAAUUUAAAAUCUGGCAGUCUUUGGCUGUCCGAGUUGUAAUCUAGAGAAGCAUUAUCCGCGCUGGACCGUGUACAAGUCUCCUGGAAUGGAGCGUCAUAGAGGGUGAGAAUCCCGUCUUUGACAUGGACUACCAGGGCUUUGUGAUGUGCUCUCAAAGAGUCGAGUUGUUUGGGAAUGCAGCUCAAAAUGGGUGGUAAAUUCCAUCUAAAGCUAAAUAUUGGCGAGAGACCGAUAGCGAACAAGUACCGUGAGGGAAAGAUGAAAAGAACUUUGGAAAGAGAGUUAAACAGUACGUGAAAUUGCUGAAAGGGAAACGCUUAAAGUCAGUCGCAUUUUCCAGGGAUCAACUCUUGCUUUUGCUUGGUGUACUUUCUGGUUAAUGGGUCAGCAUCAAUUUUGAUCAUUGGAAAAAGAUCAAGGGAAUGUGGCAUCUUUGGAUGUGUUAUAGCCCUUGGUUGCAUACAUUGGUUGGGAUUGAGGAACUCAGCACGCCGCAAGGCCGAGUUAUUUUUUAACUACGUACGUGCUUAGGAUGCUGGCAUAAUGGCUUUAAUCGACCCGUCUUGAAACACGGACCAAGGAGUCUAACAUGCCUGCGAGUGUUUGGGUGGAAAACCCGAGCGCGCAAUGAAAGUGAAAGUUGAGAUCCCUGUCGUGGGGAGCAUCGACGCCUGGACCUGACCUUUUGUGACGGUUCCACGGUAGAGCAUGUAUGUUGGGACCCGAAAGAUGGUGAACUAUGCCUGAAUAGGGUGAAGCCAGAGGAAACUCUGGUGGAGGCUCGUAGCGAUUCUGACGUGCAAAUCGAUCGUCAAAUUUGGGUAUAGGGGCGAAAGACUAAUCGAACCAUCUAGUAGCUGGUUCCUGC